GCCAUGUUCCGCACAGCGUGCAUCGCACGGUUUUUGAUCGCACUUGGUUCCAGUCCAAUCGUCGUUGCACCUAAAAAUUACAUACUUUUCAGAGACAAGUGAAAAUCGGCUUUUGAAGUUGCAACAUACACUUCAAGACCAAUGUUCCGAAGGCGUCCUGCACAAUUUCUGAAGAAAAAUGCGCUCAGCUUUAUCGUCCAAAUGCAAAAUUGAUUUCCUCCGCGCGGAACCCUUCAGGAAAGCGGGAAAAAGACACGGAUUCCGGCAAGUUCCGAACUCGUCCUGCCGCGGUGGGAACUUUUUGCGCUUACGGACGCUCUUUCACGGGACAAGAGAGGAGAGGGAGACGAGAAAGGCGUCAACUUUAGAAUAUGAGAAAGGAGAUCUUCUUUCGUGUCCUUGAUUCUGACAAAGGAACGUCGGGAAGGUAUAUUUUAAGUGAGGAGUAGAUGGAUCUGAAUUAAUCAGACUGUUGUGAAAGUUGGCGUUUCGUGGAACAGGAUUCCGAAGACGGGAAUGUUGAAAUAAAGAAAAUAGCUCAAUCGGAGGAAGAAAGAAAUACUGGAAUCUCGAGUAAGGUUCUAUGUAAAAAAAAUAAAAUAACGGAGCAAUUUCCAAAUUGC